rnacentral:tRNA from 1 species
GUCUGGGUGGUGUAGUUGGUUAUCACGCUAGUCUCACACACUAGUGGUCCCCAGUACGAACCUUGGCUCAGACA